rnacentral:rRNA from 1 species
UACGAGUGCCCCGAGCGUUAUCCGGAAUCAUUGGGCGUAAAGGGUGUGUAGGUGGUUGUGUUGGUCGAUCGUCAAAACCUGGGGCUCAACCCCAGAUCCGCGAUCGAAACGGCACGACUAGAGGAUGGCAGGGAUGUAUGGAACUCAUGGAGUAGGGGUGAAAUCCGUUGAUAUCAUGGGGAACACCAAGAGCGAAGGCAGUACAUUGGGCCACUCCUGACACUGAAACACGAAAGCGUGGGUAGCGAAUGGG